UACAGAGGUCCCAAGCGUUGUUCGGAUUCACUGGGCGUAAAGGGUGCGUAGGUGGCUUGGUAAGUUCGAUGUGAAAUCUCCGGGCUUAACCCGGAAAUGGCAUUGAAUACUAUUGAGCUGGAGGUUUGGAGGGGGGACUGGAAUUUACGGUGUAGCGGUGAAAUGCGUAGAUAUCGUAAGGAAGACCAGUGGCGAAGGCGGGUCUCUGGACAGUUCCUGACGCUGAGGCACGAAGGCCAGGGGAGCAAACGGG
rnacentral:rRNA from 1 species